CCUCAAAAUCUUUCCUCCACAAAACAUCCUCUGUUGGAUCAGGUGUGGAAAAAUUUAUUCCCACAGAAGAGCACAAUGGAAAGAAGGUACUAGAAGCCAAGGAGUGUCAACCUAGCAGCAGAUGGAAUUUACAGUGGGUGUUACAGAACUUUUACAUCUGGUCCUAAAGACAUUCCAGGUUCAAUGAAGGAAAUUAUGGAGAAGGGAUUCCAGCAAAGGAAAUACUUUCACCAGCACAGAAGUCAAGCAUUGUCACUUCUUGCAAAAAAACCUAGUUUUUAGAUGAGGAAGUUCAUAGGAAAGGUUUAAAAGAGGUGCAGGGGACACUUUUGUGCUCAGGAUUUGAAGUUUCUAUGGAAGAAAUAAGGCAUGAAACAUCCAGCUAUUUCCACAGUAAGAAUAAUGAAGACCCAAGAGAUGGCUAGGAGACAGAGGUCUUUGGAGGAGAGGAGAAAUGGAUUUGCUCAGUCUUAAGAGAGGCAGGGUAAGGGUGCUAAGGGGAGAUCUUAUGGCUGUCUGCAAAAUAAUGCAAGGCUGUAGGUAACAUAGAUCACACUUGUCUUUGCAGUGCACUGUGAUCUGACAAGAGGCAAUAAAAACAAAGCUUGGAAAACAAAAAAUUCCAGUUAGAGUUCAGAGAAUAAUCUCCCUAAGCCAUUUGUUUAAAAAAACCAACCAAAUAAACAAAAAAACCCCACUGAUGCCCUUACUUUAUAAAGGGUACACAGGAAUUUUAACGUGAUUUUCUCUUUAAAUGUUGAAAUGUCAUACUUAUCAUUAAAAAAACAACAAAAUAUCAAAAUACUUGUAAAGGGACAGAAUGAGUCUGGAAAUACAUAGAAUUUCAACCAAGAGCCUGAGAUCCAUCCUUACAUAAGUCAAGAUAUAUAUUGAUUUGUGAAAAGAAUGUACAAGUAGUGGAAUACUUUUGAUUAAAAACACUGUAAUAUCUGAGAAAACUAACAUGAUUUAGAGAAAUGGUGACAAGUAAAAAGGAAAGACAACAGCAUAAAGGAGAAAAUGAAGGCUUCAGUUGAUGAUUAUUUACAUUUUUGAGCUUUCCUUGGACUUAACCCAUUUCAACAGGAAAUGGUCCACACUUCUUGAUAUUUCAGUGAACCAACAAGUAAGAAUUUUAGAAGUUCUAAAUUGUAUAAUAAUGUUAAAUUGUGGGUAUAUGCAUUUCAUCGUCUGUGAAACUUUCUUCAUGUGUUUUAUUGCCAAAGGAAUUCAAUGGGAAUUAGGAUGGAAAAAAGUUUUCACUGCAGAAACUCUGGUGACAUUUUUCCAAAGUAAAUAUGUGUAGCCUGGUCGUUUUCUUGAAAGAUAGAUUCUGACCCACUAAAAUUGAAUUGCAAGUAUAUGGCAGCAUUUUUCUUGCACCAUGGGAUGGAUUAUUUAAAAUCCAUGAGGGGAGAAGCCAUGCAAGCUCUUUUCAGCAGUUUUGUUGCCUGCAUCCAACCUGGCUUGAGUUCCUGAUUGGUUUGAGCUGUGAAUCCCCCUCACUCUUUCCUUAUACUACGUUGAGAAGGAUUUCCAGAAAUCUUAACACUGCUCCAGACUGAAACAGUCGCAAACCUGUGCCAACAUUCGUACAUCAUUGUGUUGUACUAGGUGGUUUACUGAAAGUUUUCUUUGUGUUCUUCAGCUACAA